rnacentral:rRNA from 1 species
AAGCGACCUAAAGGAACGUUUAAGACGAAGACGUUGAUAGGCUGGGUGUGUAAGCGUAGCGAUACGUUGAGCUAACCAGUACUAAUGAACCGUGAGGCUUAACCUGACAACACCGAAGGUGUUU